rnacentral:rRNA from 1 species
UACAGAGAGUGCAAACGUUGUUCGGAAUUACUGGGCUUGAAGCGCACGUAGGCGGCGUUGUAAGUGUCGGGUGAAAUCCCACGGCUCACCCGUGGAACUGCCCGGCAUACUGCGAUGCUAGAGUGUGGUAGGGGAGAGCGGAACUCCUGGUGGAGCGGUGAAAUGCGUAGAUAUCAGGAGGAACACCGGUGGCGAAGGCGGCUCUCUGGUCCACAACUGACGUUGAGGUGCGAAAGCUAGGGGAGCAAACGGG